UGUUCAAGCGUUACAUCCACACCUUGGCCUCAAAAAUGUGCAUUCUACUGUGCAGACUGUAGCCUAUGUAUGCCUAAAACGCAGUGUAUUAUAGUAAUGUCAACUUUUAAGAACCAGGGAUUAAGACAAUGCACCAUGCAUCCAGUAUUUUUCCUCCACCUGUGGCCUGCUUCACAUGCCAUGGAGAAAAUCCCGGCUACUAGUGGCACAGUUUGCUGCACUAUGUUAAAGCCCCUGGAUCUUAGAAAAGUAGCGACAAUGCCGGCAGUGCCAAACGAAAGAUAUUGAAAUUGCAUGCGCCUGACUUGCUGCAUUACAUUAAGAGGCCAUGCAACAUUAGGCAGCCAAUUCGUGAGUUUAGCGUCUGUUUUAACACUGUCUGGUCCUUCUCCUUUGUGUGAACAACCAGGGAAGAGCCCACCAACUGCAAAAACAGUUAUUUUCACGGGCGGAUCUAUGAAUCUUGGCAAUUGUGGAAGCAAUGUUUCGACGUUUGCAGAUUGCAACAUCUGGUUCAGAAUAGGUUGUGCCCAAAACCCGAUGUCUGUGACGUGUUUCUGGCUCUCGCAAUUGCUUCCGCCGAAUGCAACCAGCAAAAGCAUAACCGUCAAGAUCUGCUCCUCUUUAUUUAGAGGGCGCCACCACUGGUGCGUGGCGUUGGACACUAUCUACUCUGUGUUCUGUCAGUGCUGUGGUGAGGUCCCCUUACAAUUGCCGAAGGCAGUUUAGCGUCCUAGCUGCACGCAUGCCGGACUGUUGUGUAAAGCAAUCUCACAACUGGUCAGAUGACGGAUUUGUUCUGCAGUGCCAGUGACGAGUGCGGAAGAGCUGAUGGGAGGAGUCUUUUGCUGGCCUAGUCUAUAACGUGGCAGCCACUCAAAGGUUAAUUUCACGAUCCGAGCGACAGUCAAUUAAAAUACAAGGGCACGACUGGUGCGAUGGUUGAGAAUGGGGAACAAUGUGUGUGAGGCACGCAUUAAGUCUGCUAGCUGCUUUUGGCCCAAACCAGGCGGGUGCACUGAAAUUGUGUUAGUUGGCGGCAAGAUCAAAGCCUUCCACUACUUUUCGAAGAUCUAGGUGCAGCGCACAUUCACCCGAGAUGGGAAUUCACUUCAGUGUGCCACUAAGGAGUGACAUGUGGUAGAAAAACGUUUUCAAAAAUGUGACUGUCAGCUGACCUCUGUGAUGCGAUGUGAAAAGUCAAAACUAGCCGCAUGCUUUGUGGGAAGUGCCUAAAAUAUUUUGAUUGCCAAACUAGUGGAAGUUUCACACAAUGUUGCUGCUUUGGUCUACUGUACGCUCACACACGUGGCAAUGGCCAACCUUGACAACAGCGGUGCUGGGUUUUCUUGCACUCAAGGGCCCAGACAAUGUCACCAAGUGCCUAGCAAAAUUAAAGGGCCCCUCCUCAAGUUUGAACAUUGUGAAUAAGUACUAAUAAUAUAUUGUCAUAUAGUUGAACAUUAGAAUUGCACAUUGUUAUAAAGCACUGAAAUCUUGCGAAAAUGGCUUCUCAAAA
rnacentral:lncRNA from 1 species